UAGGACAUAGCUCAGUGGCAAAGUGCUUGCCUAGCAAGUGCAAUGUCCUGGGUUCAAACCCCAGUAUCACAA
rfam:Dipodomys ordii contig_6482, whole genome shotgun sequence.